UACGAAGGGGGCUAGCGUUGUUCGGAAUUACUGGGCGUAAAGCGCGCGCAGGCGGUUUUUCAAGUCAGUGGUGAAAGCCCGGAGCUCAACUCCGGAACUGGCAUUGAAUACUAUCUCGCUAGAGAGUCGGAGGGGGGACUGGAAUACUUGGUGUAGCAGUGAAAUGCGUAGAUAUCAAGUGGAACACCAGUGGCGAAGGCGAGUCCCUGGACGACUUCUGACACUGAGGCACGAAAGCUAGGGGAGCAAACAGG
rnacentral:rRNA from 1 species